rnacentral:lncRNA from 1 species
AUCCCCGACUCCGACUAUAGGUAGACUUCAUCCGGACUCCUACGGGAGCCGGGCUUCGUCCUCGACUUCCACUGAAGGAAGACUUCAUCCGGACUCCUACGAGGGCCAGACUUCGUUCUCCACUCCAACUGCAGGUAGACUUCAUCCGGACUCCUCGGGAGCCGGACUUCGUCUCCAACUCCAACUGCAGGUAGACUUCAUCCGGACUCCUACGGGAGCCGGACUUCAUCCCCAACUUCAACUACAGGAAGACUUCAUUCGGACUCCUACGGGAGCCGGACUUCGCCCCCGACUCUGACUGUAGGUAGACUUCAUCCAGAC